UCGGCUUAGAGUUUGAUCAUGGCUCAGGAUGAACGCUGGCGGCGUGCCUAAUACAUGCAAGUCGAACGAAACUUCUUUAUCACCGAGUGCUUGCACUCACCGAUAAAGAGUUGAGUGGCGAACGGGUGAGUAACACGUGGGUAACCUGCCCAAAAGAGGGGGAUAACACUUGGAAACAGGUGCUAAUACCGCAUAACCAUAGUUACCGCAUGGUAAUUAUGUAAAAGGUGGCUAUGCUACCGCUUUUGGAUGGGCCCGCGGCGCAUUAGCUAGUUGGUGAGGUAAAGGCUUACCAAGGCAAUGAUGCGUAGCCGAACUGAGAGGUUGAUCGGCCACAUUGGGACUGAGACACGGCCCAAACUCCUACGGGAGGCAGCAGUAGGGAAUCUUCCACAAUGGGCGAAAGCCUGAUGGAGCAACGCCGCGUGGGUGAAGAAGGUCUUCGGAUCGUAAAACCCUGUUGUUAGAGAAGAAAGUGCGUGAGAGUAACUGUUCACGUUUCGACGGUAUCUAACCAGAAAGCCACGGCUAACUACGUGCCAGCAGCCGCGGUAAUACGUAGGUGGCAAGCGUUAUCCGGAUUUAUUGGGCGUAAAGGGAACGCAGGCGGUCUUUUAAGUCUGAUGUGAAAGCCUUCGGCUUAACCGGAGUAGUGCAUUGGAAACUGGGAGACUUGAGUGCAGAAGAGGAGAGUGGAACUCCAUGUGUAGCGGUGAAAUGCGUAGAUAUAUGGAAGAACACCAGUGGCGAAAGCGGCUCUCUGGUCUGUAACUGACGCUGAGGUUCGAAAGCGUGGGGAGCAAACAGGA
rnacentral:rRNA from 1 species